GAACGGGACAGUUGCUUUCUUCAUUGAGUAAUCUAAAUAAUUAAUACGAAGUGGUGUUUUGUGAUUAAUGAUCGCAUUAAGUUAGUCGGAAGACAUUCGCGAGUGUUAUUAUAUUGGAGUAUUCAAUAAACAAAGUGUAUCUGCCUAUUUUCGCUUCGUGCCGGGAAGCCGCUUCAUAACUCAAAAGUUUUUGCGGACUUUUGAGUUAAUUCGUUUGGGGUUCGGAGUAGGAGUCUACUCCGAGGGUGGGGGCUUAGGUUUCAUCAUCAUCACCUUUCAUUAUUUCAUUAAUCAUCAAGAAAAAAAAUACGUCAGACAUGGCUGUAUGGGCAUAGUUCCCUUUGCCUUACCCUUCGGGGAAAACCAAAACAAAAAAAAAAAAUCAAUUUAAAAAAAAAGAGCUGUCAUAUUCUAUAAGAGCAGUUUCCAUUCCACAGAGCAUUUUUUUUACUAUGGAACAUUUCCGUCUGAUGCGUAGCAUCUACUUGGUCUGUGUCUGUGUUUUCUUGGUUGUUUUUCUGAAAUGAAAACUUCAAAUUUUAAUCAAAGGGUUAUAAAUUACUAUGAAAACUUGGUGAUAACUUAUUAUAAUAAAGUGACAUAAAUUGCGAAACGUUAUUAGAUAUAACAGAUUGGCCCCGAUUCCUGCAGACACCGCCUAAUUUUAUUUUAGAUUUACAUGAAUUAAUGAAGACAAUUUUGUUGAAUUUACUGUCUAAGCUGGCGGAAUUGUGAUAAAAUAUCGUAUUGUGAUUAUUGUUACUGUGCGGCGUCGUAGCGGUCCGGUAGCAGAUAGGUGGUCAACCACUGCCGUGGACAUGGUCUUAGCACAGGAGCCGAUGUGCGUGGAGGGCGCGGGCGGCUCGCACGGCGCGUACGUGGCGUACGUGGCGGCGCUGAGCGGGCGCGCGGGCGCGCGGGCCGGCGUGUGGCGCGAGCAC